rnacentral:lncRNA from 1 species
CAAAUGGAGAGAUCUGACCAAGACGGCACAAAAGGAAGAGGUGUUGGGGAUGUGAAGGUAUACUACAUCAUGAACACAACUGUGAAGUCUAAAACCUGAAAUAGGCUGAAAGAUAUAUGCAACUCAUCAUAUGUAAGUUUUAUAUUUAUGUGUAAUUUGAGACUCAUGGUAAACUAAUAUUGCUAUAGCAUGAUCAUUUUAAAUUUUGUUUUACCUUAAAUAAAAUAUUUCCCCCAAUUAUAUCAUCUUUGCAAUUGAUAAAGAUGUAUUUUUUAAUAAUCCAUUGGGGGUCAAAGCUAUGAUAGAAAGUUGAACAUAAUUUCUAUUUGUAGUUGCAAAAGUGCACACCAAAAGGCAUUCAAAAAUAAUUUGCAAUUGCUUUUUCAGCCGACAGUCUUUAAGGCAAGUUGUUUUC